GGAUAAGGGCAGCCAGGGAGGACUGCACUUCAGGGUGACAGUGGCCUGUGGCCCAAGAGAUCUUUGAGGAAACGUACAUUUUUAGAUCAUAAGGAGGCAAAGUAUCCCAUAGGAGCUUAGUUUAUACAUGAUGUCAAUACAGUGCAAGCUGAAGCUAAUCAGGGGAAGCAGCCCCCAGGGGAGCCAGGCUGGUGAGAGGCCUCAGGAGAGAUGCUGUGGAUUCCAGGCAGUAUAUUGUUUUCUGCCAGAUCAUUUUUGGAAGAAGCAAUACUCCAAGCCAGCAUUUCUCUCGGAAAUAUAAUGGGUAGG
rnacentral:lncRNA from 1 species